rnacentral:lncRNA from 13 species
CUACAUUAUAAUCCACCCAGGCUACAUUAUAAUCCACCCAGGCUACAUUAUAAUCCACCCAGGCUACAUUAUAAUCCACCCAGGCUACAUUAUAAUCCACCCAGACUACCAGUAUGUCAGAACUGCAGUACUAUUUAUUGUCAAAACGAGUGAAAACUUGGGUUUCAUGAUUAGAGUAGAGUCAAGUUUCCCCUAAAGGCUGAUCUUG